rnacentral:rRNA from 1 species
UACGGAGGAUGCAAGCGUUGUCCGGAUUUAUUGGGUUUAAAGGGUGCGUAGGCUGUUUCAUAAGUCAGUGGUUAAAUUACCUUGCUUAACGAGGGAUAUGCCAUUGAUACUGUGGGACUUGAAUAUUGUGUAGGUAGGCGGAAUUGGUAGUGUAGCGGUGAAAUGCUUAGAUAUUACCAGGAACACCGAUAGCGAAGGCAGCUUACUGUACAAUAAUUGACGCUGAGGCACGAAAGUGCGGGUAUCAAACAGG